UACGUAGGGGGCAAGCGUUGUCCGGAAUCAUUGGGCGUAAAGCGCGCGUAGGCGGUUUGGUAAGUCCGCUGUGAAAGUCGGGGGCUCAACCCUCGGAUGCCGGUGGAUACUGUCGAGCUUGAGUACGGAAGAGGCGAGUGGAAUUCCUGGUGUAGCGGUGAAAUGCGCAGAUAUCAGGAGGAACACCAAUUGCGAAGGCAGCUCGCUGGGACGUUACUGACGCUGAGACGCGAAAGCGUGGGGAGCAAACAGG
rnacentral:rRNA from 1 species